rnacentral:tRNA from 1 species
GCCCCCUUGGUGGAAUGGUAGACACACGAGACUUAAAAUCUCCUGGCCAAAUUGGCCGUGCCAGUUCGAGUCUGGCAGGGGGCA